ACCUGCACUGAUUUAAUGCUUACAUGACCCUCUUUUAUCCCCAUACAUUAAGCUUUUCUGUUAUCAUUAUUAUUAUUAUUAUUAUUAUU